AUGCGUGCUUACAGAUCUUUGCUGUUUUGCUUUUUAGGUGCAAACCCGAAUUAUCCUGAUGUAAUUUAUGAAGAUUAUGGGACUGCAACAAACGACGUCGGGGACACCACCAACAGAAGUAACGAUAUCCCUCCCACUGGGGUUGCUGACACAACUGGUCGGGAACAUCUCUCGGUCUAUGCUGUUGUGGUAAUUGCAUCUGUGGUGGGAUUUUGUCUGCUGAUAAUGCUGUUUCUGCUUAAGUUGGCAAGACACUCCAAGUUUGGCAUGAAAGGUAAGAAGGGUUGUGUUUAUUUUGCUUCUUAUGUGGAAUCGUUUUUGGCUUAUGACUAAUGCUAAUUACCACUAAAGAAGGAAGCAGCUAGAUUUAUGAUGAUUAGGUUUGAAAAGGCUGAAAAAAUAGCAACAAGGAUGUGACACUACAAAUCUAGACACGGCAAAAUAAUGUUGAUUACUCAGCACUACCCACUUUCCCAUGAGGACAGUUGUCCCACAAGACACAGAACUGGUUUCUUGAGUAUCAAGUGACUAAUGAUGAUAUGGACAAAUAUUGCUCGGUUUUUCCCUUUUGCUCUAGAAAGGCAAGUGAGGCACAGUGGCUAUAGGAUAGUCUGGACAUGUGUACUUUGGGCAGAAAGGUUUUUCCUGCCGCACAUUUGAUUUCCACAUCCUCAGUGGUAUGCUUUUGGUGUGGUGACUGCUUCUGCAGGUUCUCGCUCUUUGAAGUUUUAACAACAGAGUUGGGAAGCAAAGUAACAAAUUCUCAAUGCUGGAUUAAAAACUAGGGUCUAGGCCGGGCGCGGUGGCUCACGCCUGUAAUCCUAGCUCUCUGGGAGGCCGAGGCGGGCGGAUUGCUCGAGCACGCAUGUAAUCCUUAGCUCUUGAGGCCGAGGCGGG
rnacentral:lncRNA from 1 species